rnacentral:misc_RNA from 1 species
UUGACUCGUUUGUAUAAUACUCGGAGAUGCCAACACGCUGAGACAGAGUAUGCGGGCCGCCGGCGGACGCGGGUCCCCCCGGAGAUUCCGGGGAGGCGCCCGCCGAGGCAACGACGGUAGGUAAGAUUCACAGUGGUAUUACGGGAGUAUAACGUCCUGUAAUGAUCCCUCCGCUGGUUCACCAACGGAGA